rnacentral:rRNA from 1 species
AAAGGCGCUUUCGGGUGUCGCUGAUGGAUGGACCCGCGGUGCAUUAGCUAGUUGGUGAGGUAACGGCUCACCAAGGCCACGAUGCAUAGCCGACCUGAGAGGGUGAUCGGCCACAUUGGGACUGAGACACGGCCCAAACUCCUACGGGAGGCAGCAGUAGGGAAUCUUCGGCAAUGGACGAAAGUCUGACCGAGCAACGCCGCGUGAGUGAAGAAGGUUUUCGGAUCGUAAAACUCUGUUGUUAGAGAAGAACAAGGAUGAGAGUAACUGUUCAUCCCUUGACGGUAUCUAACCAGAAAGCCACGGCUAACUACGUGCCAGCAGCCGCGGUAAUACGUAGGUGGCAAGCGUUGUCCGGAUUUAUUGGGCGUAAAGCGAGCGCAGGCGGUUUCUUAAGUCUGAUGUGAAAGCCCCCGGCUCAACCGGGGAGGGUCAUUGGAAACUGGGAGACUUGAGUGCAGAAGAGGAGAGUGGAAUUCCAUGUGUAGCGGUGAAAUGCGUAGAUAUAUGGAGGAACACCAGUGGCGAAGGCGGCUCUCUGGUCUGUAACUGACGCUGAGGCUCGAAAGCGUGGGGAGCAAACAGGAUUAGAUACCCUGGUAGUCCACGCCGUAAACGAUGAGUGCUAAGUGUUGGAGGGUUUCCGCCCUUCAGUGCUGCAGCUAACGCAUUAAGCACUCCGCCUGGGGAGUACGACCGCAAGGUUGAAACUCAAAGGAAUUGACGGGGGCCCGCACAAGCGGUGGAGCAUGUGGUUUAAUUCGAAGCAACGCGAAGAACCUUACCAGGUCUUGACAUCCUUUGACCACUCUAGAGAUAGAGCUUCCCCUUCGGGGGCAAAGUGACAGGUGGUGCAUGGUUGUCGUCAGCUCGUGUCGUGAGAUGUUGGGUUAAGUCCCGCAACGAGCGCAACCCUUAUUGUUAGUUGCCAUCAUUCAGUUGGGCACUCUAGCAAGACUGCCGGUGACAAACCGGAGGAAGGUGGGGAUGACGUCAAAUCAUCAUGCCCCUUAUGACCUGGGCUACACACGUGCUACAAUGGGAAGUACAACGAGUCGCGAAGUCGCGAGGCUAAGCUAAUCUCUUAAAGCUUCUCUCAGUUCGGAUUGCAGGCUGCAACUCGCCUGCAUGAAGCCGGAAUCGCUAGUAAUCGCGGAUCAGCACGCCGCGGUGAAUACGUUCCCGGGCCUUGUACACACCGCCCGUCACACCACGAGAGUUUGUAACACCCGAAGUCGGUGAGGUAACCUUUUGGAGCCAGCCGCCUAAGGUGGGAUAGAUGAUUGGGGUGAAGUCGUAACAAGGUAGCCGUAUCGGAAGGUGCGGCUGGAUCACCUCCUUU